UCUAAACACAUUCUUGAAUGUGUUUCUCCUAGAAAGCAGUGAACAAAAUCUCCCGGUGUUUCUUCUGAGAGAAAGACUUCUUCAGGCUUGACUGGACUGAUUACACGGUCACCCCACCCCAAACCCUUUCCUUCCCAUGAUGCCUCAGGCCACAACGCCACACCCCGCACCAGCACUCCCCCCUCCUGAGUGGGACGGCCUCUGCGCAGGUGGAAAGGGUCAAAUUGCCGGUGUGGAUCUCUGGCACGGAAUGAGAAGAAACUGAGCUGGUUUGGUCCCGAGGCGAUGGACGGGGGGAGGAGAGCGCGCUGGUGGGAAGAGUGGAGCAACCCACUGCGGGUUUCUCUCUUUUCUGAUUUAUGCCUUCUCUCAUGUGCAAAAAACAAAUGAAGAAGUCUAAUAAAUGCUCUUUCUCUCUCUCUUUCUCUCUCUCCAUAUAUGCAUUGCCUGUUAAGCUUCAAAGUAUGUACAGUGAUCAGCCUUCCUUUCCCAGAUAAUGUUUCCUGAACACUUUGAUGUGUAAAUCUUCCUUUAUGACUUCAUAGGUUCUUCCGUGUGAAAAUGAGAGAGAAAACGUACAAUGAACUUUUUUGAUAUGGAAAUGAUGAUUGACUGCACCGUACACUGUAAAAAACAACAAGUAAAAUGUACUUAAUGCAAGUUUUGUAAA